rnacentral:rRNA from 1 species
AACGAACGCUGGCGGCAUGCCUAACACAUGCAAGUCGAACGCCCAUUUCGGUGGGAGUGGCGCACGGGUGAGUAACGCGUGGGAACCUGCCUCAUGGUUCGGAACAACGUCUGGAAACGGACGCUAAUACCGGAUGAGCCCUUCGGGGGAAAGAUUUAUCGCCAUGAGAGGGGCCCGCGUCCGAUUAGGUAGUGGUGGGUAACGGGCCUACCAAGCCGACGAUCGGUAGCUGGUCUGAGAGGAUGAUCAGCCACACUGGGACUGAGACACGGCCCAG